rnacentral:rRNA from 1 species
CCUACGGGAGGCAGCAGUGAGGAAUAUUGGUCAAUGGACGAGAGUCUGAACCAGCCAAGUAGCGUGAAGGAUGACUGCCCUAUGGGUUGUAAACUUCUUUUAUAUGGGAAUAAAAUGUUGUACGUGUGGGAUUUUGUAUGUCCCAUAUGAUGAAGGAUGGGCCAACUCCGUACCAGCAGCCGCGGUAAUACGGAGGAGCCGAGCGUUAUCCGGAUUUAUUGGGUUUAAAGGGCGCGUAGGUGGAUUGUUAAGUCAGUUGUGAAAGUUUGGGGCUCAACCGUAAAAUUGCAGUUGAAACUGGCAGGCUGGAGUACAGUAGAGGUGGGCGGAAUUCGUGGUGUAGCGGUGAAAUGCGUAGAUAUCACGAAGAACACCGAUGGCGAAGGCAGCUCACUGGACUGCAACUGACACUGAGGCCCGAAAGUGUGGGUAGCAAACAGGAUUAGAUACCCCUGUAGUC